AGAGAAGAGGAAAGGUAAGAGUGUAGGACUGUGAAUAGGAACUCUGAAUGUUGGUACUAUGACAGGGAGAGG